UGGAACUUUUAGAAGUCGAACCUAUUAAUUUAGGGCUCCGAUCGACCGCUCUGCUUCCGAUCUUCGUCAAUAUGGGUAGCAGAUGACAUUCGUAUCCGAGAAAUACCGAAUACAUUCGAAAAUUCAGAAGUUAGUUGCACAAAGUCUCACCAUCAUUAUCUACGAUUCCGUCGUUAAUCAGCUUCGGAAUCCUGAAUAUCAAAGCCAGCAGUGCCGCUGCUGCAGGCCAGAAGACUGCUCCCUUGAUUCCCAUCUUCUCCGCAACUUCGAGGGCCCAUCCCAUACUCUCAUCUGAAAUAAUGCAAGUGAUCUUAUCAUUAUCUGAUCCAUUAAUAUUUUCUAUGAGCUCCUCCAGCUUUCCAGGCAUGACCUGGAAGAUUGCUUCUGAUAGCUUCCCCAGGUCAUUCCUAUCCUCCGAUAGUUCUAUCCCGUCUGGGAUUGAAACAAGAUGUAUCUGAUCUCCUAUGUUAUUCUUCUCUGACAAUGCAUUCAUGACCCUCUUGUGAUUAAACUCAGUGUUUACAAAUGUGACUCUGAAACCGUGUUUGACUAAGCACUGUGCAAGCUCCAUCAGGGGAAUCACAUGGCCUUGUGCUGGAUAAGGUAGCCUGCAGGCGUGACGGAGGAGCCUAUGUUUACAGUAUUGUCCAUUUGCUUUAGUGAGUUUCAGUUGGGGAAUAUUCUCUUCUUUGUCACAUUGCCAUAUCUAAUAUCAGCUUGUCCUUCGUUGUUAGAUUUGCUGUUAUUAUUUGGUAACUUUGGUUUAUUCCCCUGUCUUUAUACUGAUUCCUUCGGUGGUAUCUUCAUUUUAGUCGACUUCUAUUGUUUUGUCA